rnacentral:rRNA from 1 species
UACGUAGGGUGCAAGCGUUAAUCGGAAUUACUGGGCGUAAAGCGUGCGCAGGCGGUGAUGUAAGACAGAUGUGAAAUCCCCGGGCUCAACCUGGGAACUGCAUUUGUGACUGCAUCGCUGGAGUGCGGCAGAGGGGGACGGAAUUCCGCGUGUAGCAGUGAAAUGCGUAGAUAUGCGGAGGAACACCGAUGGCGAAGGCAAUCCCCUGGGCCUGCACUGACGCUCAUGCACGAAAGCGUGGGGAGCAAACAGG